GACGAACGCUGGCGGCGUGCUUAACACAUGCAAGUCGAACGGAAAGGCCCUGCUUUUGUGGGGUGCUCGAGUGGCGAACGGGUGAGUAACACGUGAGUACCCUGCACUUGACUUUGGGAUAACUUAAGGAAACUGGGGCUCAUACCGGCUAGGAGCUACUGCUGCAUGGUGGGGGUUGGAAAGUUUCGGCUGUUGGGGAUGGACUCGCGGCGUAUCAGCUUGUUUGGUGGGUAGUGGCUUACCAAGGCUUUGACGGGUAGCCGGCCUGAGCGGGUGACCGGCCACAUUGGGCUGGGGAUACGGCCCAGACUCCUACGCGAGGCAGCAGUGGGGAAUAUUACACAAUGGGCGGAAGCCUGAUGCAGCAACGCCGCGUGGGGUAUGACAGCCAUCGGUUAGGAUUCCGCUUUCGCCUGUGACGAAGCGUGAGUGACGGUAAUGGGAAAAGAAGCACCGGCUAACUACGUG
rnacentral:rRNA from 1 species